GUAAGUUACUGCGCGUCUGCUCAUGGACUGGUCAGUGCUGGUCAUGGAGAAUGAAGUAACACUCUAGCAGGUACCUUCUCUCCAAGACCAAGAGUUACCUGUUAAUUCAGCAUUGAUCUGAGUACCUCCUGUAGGACAACUCCUAUCGCCUCAUUGUUAGCUCGUUUGCCCCUGGAAAAACAUCCCCGUGCAAAUAAACCCAUAAGAGGAGCCCUGAGCCUGCCAACACAAACAUUUCAUCACCAUAUUCAGAUUUGAACAUCCCGCAAGGCAGGGGGCGUGGAGUGCUGGCACCUGAUGGGGAAGACCAGGGGCCCUGGAGUCAGUGAGACUGAGGUUCAGGUCCUCCCUCUGAUUCUUGCCAGGUGUGUGAACUUGAUGAUUUUUUUCUGCUGAACCUCUCCGAGCCUCUGUUUUUCCAUCUUAUAAAAAGGAGAUCAUAACAGGUACCAUUUCAAAGGGAAGUUAUGACAGUUAAAGAAGAGAUCACAUGUAAAAGGUUUGGCGCAGAGUGUAUUACCACUAGACUGAUUAUUCUGGUUAUUAAAGGAAUAAUAAUUGCCAUUAGAACAAUGUUAAAAUUACUGCUGAUGCUGUUACUAUGGUUAUUAUUACUGUUGCUAUUUGGCAGGUGGUGAAACUGAGACCCAGAUUAAAUGACUUGUCCAAGGCCACGGGGCAAUGCCUGUCCCUUGACUUUUAAGCCAACACUCUGUGAGCUCAGCAUGUUUUCCCCAUUAAGCCCACCCAGGCCCCCUUCCCAGCCCAUCUGGUCACCGACGGCAGCUCUGAUGAAGCAACGGGGGCAGCUGCCAGCCUGAGAAGAGAGACUGGCCAGCCCUGUGUGCCGGGCAUCAUUUAAUUAGAUGACCUCUGAAGCUGGCUUUUCCAGUCUACCGUCCGGCCUCCAGAAGAGCAGCAUUAAGGAGUUAAUGGGGCUUGGCGGAGGCAAUGGGCCAUCUGUUCUUAAUUACCCAAAGUGUAUGAGGCCGAGGGCAGGCUGGCGUGGGGGCGGCGGGGCACUGCCAGGCUGGCUGCCCUCUGUCAGUUGCCUGGCCUCACACCUCCCUCCAUCCCUGGGUCCUCAAGUCCCUCAGUUUCCCUUCUCCUGUUUCUCCUGCCUCUGAGGCGGAGAAGCAGAAGCUCGCAUUCAGGAGCUGCAGUGCUGGGAGUAGACGAUGGGGUAACUAGCAUUUGGUUCUGCAGAUGCACAGCCUGAGGCAUGGAUUCCUGUGCCAGUGACUUUUGGAAGAUGAGGGGCUGGAAGGGAGUGAUGGAAGCAGGAUGGGGCAGAGGAACCAAGCAGGAUGGAGUAACUCUGGUAUAUUGUCACUUCUGUCUUGGACUGCAAACCAUUUUUCUGAUCUCUGGUCUCAGCCACAGCUUCCAGCCUCUUAGAUUCUGAAGCGCUGGAAUCAAGGUCUCUGCUACAGCGCUUCUGAUCAAGGCUCUGGAUGCUCCAGGCUUCUGGGUGCUCAGGUAUGGGACAGAGUUGGGUUCAAAGCCUUGUUCUGCCACUUUGUGAGUUGCUUACUUAAUCUUUUGGAUCCUGUGUCAUCUGUAAAAUGGAACCAAUAUGUUCUCCUCAACAUUGUUGUACAGUUUAAAUUAGAUAAUGCAGUUUAGUCCAGGAACUCUCCCACAGUGAAAGGAGAACCAACACCGAAUGAUGUCUUUAAUGAUCUCAAGGAAGAACCCCAUCCUUGCGGCCGUUUGGUCAGGGCUUUUUAGUGAUUCUCAAUAGUUAAGUCAACAGGCAGCGCUGCCGCGGCCUUCUCCAUUUGAUGGCUCCAGGCUGGGUCCAUUCGUGCCCUUAGAUCUUGGCUCUUGUGUCCAGCUUUCUGGUGCUCACUGCGGGCUGUGAAGAUGAGCCGAAUUGUGAAGGAGUGAGUGUCGCAUGCCCCUGUGAUUAUGGUAGGGUUUGAUACGGGAUCCCUGUGGUCUGAUGGUGAUGUUUGGAGAUGGAUGUCGGGUUUGUGAGUGGAGUGCCGGGUACCUUGGCCAGUAUUACAGCUUGCUUGUAAAUUCACUGCAGAGCUCCUCGUUGCUGUUCUGAAAAUGACAUCCCUCCCUCCCUUCCCUCUGUCUGGCAGGAGCUGAAGUUGCCAUUAGUGUUAUUUACCAGACAUUUCCAACUUCCUCAUUCUCAGUCCUUGGCUAGGCUUAUAUUUCCUCAUCUACUUUAAAACUGGAUAUGGCCCUGAGACCUCCUGUGGUCCCAGUAAACCUCCACUGUCAGGUAAGAAAGCGGUGUUUGCACUAUCUACUGACAUCUGGGGUUUGCUUGUUAGUUCAGCAUCACUGAUGUAUCCUGACCCACACACCUGGCAGAUGCUUGCAAGACCCACAAGGCGGGGGACUCUGCCUGGUUUGUUCACCAUCCCAGUCCCAGGACCUAGCAUAGUGCCCAGCACAUCUAAGUAGUUGAUCAAUACUUGCUGAAGAAUGAAAGAAAGGCCUUGGGACCACCAGAUCUGUUUGAUUCUGUUUUUAUCACUCAUCAGCUACAUGAACUUUGGCAAUUCACUUAACCUUCAUAAUUCUUAAACUUUCUAAUUCUUGCAGUGGGAGUGUUGUUCCUUGAAAUGUUACUGUAGGAUUUAUUCUGAUAAUGUGGAAGUUUCUGGCACACAGCGGGUACCCAAUACAUGAUGGUUAACAAAAGUCUUUUGCUUUGAACAGAGAAGGAAGAUGGAUGCAGGAGAGGAGACAGAACCUGUUUAAGUAUUUCUUUCUGUAAGAAGGACUAGGGUGGGAAAGGGCUUGUGGGCAGCACUGAUGAGGAAAGAGACCCCAGUGACAAGCGGGUUGGAAACAAGGAGUUGGGGGAGGGACUGAUGGAGGAGAUUCAUGCAGAUCUCGCUGUCUCCAGAGUCCAAGAGAACUAAUUCAAAUGGCACAAAACAUCCCCAAAUAUUUGAGCAGAAGCCAUAGCUAGUACGUUUUUAAUUAUGCUGCCAAUAAAGAUUCCUGGGCAGAACGGUCUUCGAUGCAUAGUAAUGUUUUGCAAUGUUUUUAGUAAUUGGGUUAAGAUAAUUUAUUAGAGUCCUGACUGGAUGUGUUUCAAUAAUUGCUAAGACUGGAAUAUUAGCCUUCCCUCCCUGAAUGCAAAUCACUCCCCAAUGGGCCAAAGCAUUGGAGAAUAGAGUUCUGAAUAUGGAAACCAUUUGGAGACAAAUUCUGAGGGCUGACCAUAGUGUCAAUGUGAAUACUGACUUUAAACUGCACUUGGAGGCUCCCUGAACUGCAAGCCCUGUGUUGGGGGCCUGUUCUGCUGGUGGGGUCACAGGCUGUAGCAGGUUGAUCUCCUACAGUUUCUGUUAAAGGAAACCUGAGUGCAGAUGGGAGGUGAGGAGGGUUGGCCAGGGCCCCGCUGAGGUCACAAGUGGCAUGAGAGACAGAGCUAAUGGCUGAAACAGAUUUCCCUCAUCUCUGUUUUCUCUGCUGAGCUUGUUGGGGGAGACAAGAAGCUAAUCCUCUUUAAGAAAAAUAAUCAGCAGAAGUAUUAACAGAGGAAUUGAGAGGAUGAGGGUCUUGCUGGGGGGUGGGGCAUGUUUGCAAUCAAGAUUUAAAAGUAAUAAACUUCCUAAGGUUAAUUUGGUUUUUCUGGCAAGAGCACAGCACUAGGAAAAAAACUCCAGUAAAAGUUUCACAUUGUUGGAAAUAACGAUAACCAUGAGAGAUGCACAUGUGGGAUGUUGAUAGUGCCUGACGGGGUCCUGAGCGCGGUGCUGUAGGCAACUCACUCAAUCGUCACUGCAGCGCAAUGAGUGGAGGUGCUAUUAUCCCCACCAAGCAUUUGCAUCUUGGAGAAAUGAAGCAUGUUGGCUAAGGUCUCCCUUUUUAACAAGCAGAGGAGCCAGAGUUUGAAUCAAGACCUUGGAACCCUGAACUCCUGCAUUGGAUCACCAGACCCUAUUCCAGCCACCACUUAACAGUCGCUGUGUUUUGGGUCCGUUACAUGCGCUGGUCCAUUUAACUGUUGAAAUGUUCAUUCAGAUGUCUGUCACUGCAGUUUGGAAGACAAGGAACAGAGGAGUAAGAUCUGUGGAUGUCUGAUUGGUGGUGAGAUCUCUUGGGGCUGCCUGGGGAUAGAUAUGUUCAUGGAAGGCCAUGAAAAACACAAGUAAGAAUGGGGUUGCUGUGCAGAGUUACACUUUCCAUCGCCCUGAGUGUGGACAGCAUCUUUUGUCAUCCACACAAGUGUGCAAGAUAGGUAAAGAGGAGAGUACGAUGCCCACUGUACAGGUGAACAAUGACAUUUAAAGAGGACAGGGGACUUUCUUAUGAUUGCAGAAUGACCAAGGGCUAGAGGCUAAAGCCUAAAGUCUUCUUCACUGGGGACUUCACUGGAGUUCCAGGGGUUGAGAAUCUGCCUUCCAAUACAGGGGGCACCGAUUCCAUCCCUGGUUGGGGAAUGAAGAUCCCACAUGCUGCGGAGUAACUAAGUCCAUGCACCACAGCUGCUGAGUCCAUGUGCUCGAGAGCCUGCGCUCCGCAACUGGAGAAAGCCCCCACACCCCAGCAAAAACGUAGUCCUGCCAAAAUGAAAGAUAGAGUCUUCUCACUUUGGAUCUCCUGAACUUUUCUCAUCCUUCCCAAGAAUCCUGGGAGAAGGAAGUGGGUCCUAAAUUGGGAGCUGGACUUGUUGGAAUUGUCAUGAAUCUGUCACCGUCCCCACUGUCACCAUCACCACGGGACCCGCUGUGAAAACUGACGCCAUUACCACCAUCACAGUUAAGGCAGUUCUACCAAAGGAGCUCUCAUAUCAGCUGAGAGAUUGUUCAUCAGUCCCCUCAUCCUCCCCCAGUGAAGAAGGAGAGUCUGUACAAAAAGGGGUAGUUACAGUGUCCCCCAAAGUUUCCUGAUAGAUAAUAAAUUAUGAAGAGAACAUUCUUUGCUGUGUAAUUAAUGGAAAUUUACCAGUUUUAAGCUUCCUCUGGGAAAUUUUCCAUGUCAAAUGAAUUUGUCGAUGGGGCUCGAGAGGGAGGCUAUCACAGGAGUUCCAAUGUGUACUUCUUCAUUAGUCGGCUGCUGGAGGUUAAAUUUUUAGUCACGUCUUUCGAUGGCUUUGAUCUCUCAUGACAGUGUUAACUCUAUUUGCUCCUUGGUAUCACUCUGGUAUUUUAAAAUAGUCUUUUGAGAUAGCCUGGCUAAUUAUUUUGCUGGAAGUUUAAUUAAAUCUUGUCACAGAGGAAUAUGCUGUCUUGGGGAAUGGCUGCUAAACAUAAGUCAAAUUGCUAAGAAAAAGGCAGGCAGAGGAGAUCUAUAUGCCUACAAAGAGUCGUGCAGAAGAUAGAUUUCAAUAUGAAAGGACACGUGAUUGAUUGAAGUUCAAAUCUGUUUCUUUGAACUAUUCCAAGAUUGUUUUAAUUUUAUAUUUGGAAUCAGAUAUCAUCCAUCAAUUCAUGUUUUUAUUUAGUUCUACUCUGGGAUCAUAACAAUAAAUAAAUAACAAUAAAUAAACAAGAUCACCUCCUUCAUGGGGCGCAUAGUUAUGGUAGGGGAGGAAUACAGACAGAAGUGUUGUGUUUUAAAUAUAG
ensembl:lncRNA